rnacentral:lncRNA from 1 species
GUCGAUCUGUAUAUGUACAAGAGUCAUUUAGCAGGACAGCCAGCACCUGAUCCCUAGCACCUAUUGCUCAGUCAGAUUGCUAGCUGUGCAGAAAUCCCAAACAUGAGGCCAAAUUCCUGUUUCUCUGCUUGAACAAAAUUUAGGGGGUGGGGGCAAGAAAGUACAGGCAUGGAAAGAAAUAAGAUAUGUAAAUAAAUACCCAGCUUUCUUGUUACAGAAAGGACGGCUCUUCCGUUAACAGCUACAGCGCUCUGGGUCCCUGUGAGCCUCCCCAGUAGCCACAGCACUCCUGGCAGGCCCGUCCCCGCCACUGCUGCUUCCUCCCAGGAGCACACAUCCUGCCUGUUCCUGCUCCCACUCCUACCCUCAGGCCGUGGCAUGGAGGAAACGCUGGACACGGCAGUGGAGACUGGGAAUGGAGCCCUUGCAGGGCAUAUGUGGUGCCUUCUUACACUUGGAAAAAUAUGUUGCACGUGCUUAGAGGUGCUUCUACACACAACUGCCUAACCAGAUGUCAAACCAAUGAGUAAUAAGAAGAGUCAGCGGUUACUAUGAGAUAUUAAUUGUAUGCUUCAGUAAUUAGCUUCUGCUGAAAACCGGUUUUCCACAGGCCACAAUUUUAGGAUGGAAGUAGAGAGCAACAUAAAUGACAAGCAUAUAAACAUGCUGUGGUUAACCGUGUCAGUCGGUAGAUGGCUGUAUUGCUUCUAGCUGUCUUCAGGGAAUACGUUUCCAUUUCUAUGGCCAAGAAAGGGAAAGCUUUUUCCCAGAGAUACAAGGAGCCACUGAGAGUACAUGGAGACCUUUGCAUUUUGAUGUUUUAAAAUGGCUCCAUUUUAAAUACAAUAUUAUUCCUCCGUUUUUGUCUAUUUGUUAAUUGCACAGAAUUUUUUAACACUCUGGUUUAGCAGUCUAUCUGUUGGGUUUUUUUGCCUUACCUGAAGUAAAGUAAUCUACUUAAACUCACCUUAAACUCACACCCCGGGUUGUGAAAUCACAAAGACUCCAUUAUGGAGGAACUGGAUAUUUCAGCUGUUAAGAAAUGGGCUGCGAGGUUUUUAUGCUGUGUGUCGUGGGCUCAGAUCUGGUCCAUAUUCAUAGUUACUAUUCUGGGUUCUUCUAAUUGUUACCUGCUGGUUAUGCAAUAAUACCUUUCAG